GAUGACAAGCAGUGCUUUUCUAAUGGUGCAAAUCGUUAAGAUGACAAAUAACAUAAAGAUUAUAGUCUCCUGGAAAGUGACACUCUCAUGAGGAAAAGAAGGGAACAGGGACAAGACAAUAUCUGCACAUGCUCAGUACAAUCUGCAGUCAGUUGAAUCCACAGACACAAGAAGCACAGAUACGAGGGCUCACUGGAUGUGUAACUUUUUAUUUGUGACCUGUCUCCCUCUACUGGAAGAUAGAUUGGCUAAAGUUCCUGCUUUCCUCAUUUUGAGAGACUGUGUGCUAUAAAUGCCAAACAAACAUCAAAUCCGCCGCGCUCUGGCAAAGGU